UACGUAGGGGGCAAGCGUUGUCCGGAUUUAUUGGGCGUAAAGAGCGUGUAGGCGGCCUUACAGGUCAGCUGUGAAAACUCGAGGCUCAACCUCGAGAUGUCGGCAGAAACCCUCUGGCUAGAGUCCGGAAGAGGAGAGUGGAAUUCCCGGUGUAGCGGUGAAAUGCGCAGAUAUCGGGAAGAACACCCGUGGCGAAGGCGGCUCUCUGGGACGGUACUGACGCUGAGACGCGAAAGCGUGGGGAGCGAACAGG
rnacentral:rRNA from 1 species